ACACAGGCUUUUUUAAAAGCCACAUUUUCACAUAGACACCAAGAU
rfam:Cavia porcellus supercont2_13 genomic scaffold, whole genome shotgun sequence.